UACGAAGGGGGCAAGCGUUGUUCGGAAUUACUGGGCGUAAAGCGCACGUAGGCGGACUGUUAAGUCGGGGGUGAAAGCCUGUGGCUCAACCACAGAAUUGCCUUCGAUACUGUAGAGCUUGAGACCGGAAGAGGUAAGUGGAACUGCGAGUGUAGAGGUGAAAUUCGUAGAUAUUCGCAAGAACACCAGUGGCGAAGGCGGCUUACUGGUCCGGUUCUGACGCUGAGGCGCGAAAGCGUGGGGAGCAAACAGG
rnacentral:rRNA from 1 species